UACGUAGGGGGCGAGCGUUGUCCGGAAUUAUUGGGCGUAAAGCGCGCGUAGGCGGCCAGAUAAGUCCGGUGUGAAAGUCAAAGGCUCAACCUUUGAAUGCCGCUGGAAACUGUCUGGCUUGAGUCCGGAAGGGGCGAGUGGAAUUCCUGGUGUAGCGGUGAAAUGCGCAGAUAUCAGGAGGAACACCAAUGGCGAAGGCAGCUCGCUGGAACGAUACUGACGCUGAGGCGCGAAAGCGUGGGGAGCGAACAGG
rnacentral:rRNA from 1 species